CCUACGGGAGGCAGCAGUGGGGAAUAUUGGGCAAUGGGCGCAAGCCUGACCCAGCAACGCCGCGUGACGGAAGAAGGCUUUCGGGUUGUAAACUUCUUUUGACAGGGAAGAGCAGAAGACGGUACCUGUCGAAUAAGCCACGGCUAACUACGUGCCAGCAGCCGCGGUAAUACGUAGUUGGCAAGCGUUGUCCGGAUUUACUGGGUGUAAAGGGCGUGUAGCCGGGCUGACAAGUCAGAUGUGAAAUCCGGGGGCUCAACCCCCGAACUGCAUUUGAAACUGUUGGUCUAGAGUAAUGGAGAGGAUAGCGGAAUACCCAGUGUAGAGGUGAAAUUCGUAGAUAUUGGGUAGAAAACCGGUGGCGAAGGCGGCUAUCUGGCCAUUUACUGACGCUGAGGCUCGAAAGCAUGGGGAUCAAACAGGAUUAGAUACCCGAGUAGUC
rnacentral:rRNA from 1 species